rnacentral:lncRNA from 1 species
ACUUCUCUGAGAUGAGGGCGGCAACAGGAGCAAAUGCGAGCAGACAGCUGGGUGUGUCCCUUUCCAGCAGAGGGAACGCACACCACAGCCUCCAGUGGAAGCAUUCCAAGAUCUGCAGCAAAUAUCUAGCUCAUUGGCAGAAGCAGGUUUUUGGCAUGAACAACUGUUUUUCACUUUGAUUUCGACUCCAGCAGAAGUUCUGCAAGAUGACCUGGGAAUAAAGUUGGCCAAGAAGCCUCCGAGGGGAGAUCGGCGUGGUGGAGAGCCCCGCGUCUACAUGAGGUGUGAGAUCCCAACAGGUUGACAAUGGAAGCAGAGCUGAGAAUCCGGUCAUCUUAUAUUAAGCCAGAUGCUAAAAAGGUUUGAAAAAAUGUAAGACAGUGCUACUCUUCUCCCUAAAUUUUUUGUUGUUGUAGAAGAUACUCUUUUCAUAAAGACACAUGCAUGCAAAUGUUCAUUGCAGCACUAUUCACAAUAGCAAAGAUAUGGAGUCAACCCAAAUGCCCAUCAAUGACAGAUUGGAUA